UGGGGAAUAUUGGACAAUGGGCGCAAGCCUGAUCCAGCCAUGCCGCGUGAGUGAUGAAGGCCUUAGGGUUGUAAAGCUCUUUUGCCGGGGACGAUAAUGACGGUACCCGGAGAAUAAGUCCCGGCUAACUUCGUGCCAGCAGCCGCGGUAAUACGAAGGGGACUAGCGUUGUUCGGAAUCACUGGGCGUAAAGCGCACGUAGGCGGAUUCGUAAGUCAGGGGUGAAAUCCCGGGGCUCAACCUCGGAACUGCCUUUGAUACUGCGGGUCUUGAGUCCGAUAGAGGUGGGUGGAAUUCCUAGUGUAGAGGUGAAAUUCGUAGAUAUUAGGAAGAACACCGGUGGCGAAGGCGGCCCACUGGAUCGGUACUGACGCUGAGGUGCGAAAGCGUGGGGAGCAAACA
rnacentral:rRNA from 1 species